rnacentral:rRNA from 1 species
GCGAGAAAACUUUGCAAUGUGCGAAAGCACGACAAGGUUAAUCCGAGUGGUUUCUGCUAAAGAAACCUUUUGUCAGUCCUAGAAACACUAACGAAUAAGGGGUGGGCAAGUUCUGGUGUCAGCCGCCGCGGUAAAACCAGCACCUCAAGUGGUCAGGAUGAUUAUUGGGCCUAAAGCAUCCGUAGCUCGUUUUGUAAGUUUUCGGUUAAAUCCAUACGCUUAACGUAUGGGCUGCCGGGAAUACUGCAUAACUAGGAAGUGGGAGAGGUAGACGGUACUCGGUAGGAAGGGGUAAAAUCCUUUGAUCUAUUGAUGACCACCUGUGGCGAAGGCGGUCUACCAGAACACGUUCGACGGUGAGGGAUGAAAGCUGGGGGAGCAAACAGGAUUAGAUACCCCCGUAGUCCCUGAGCGGGCUGGCAAGGCGCAU